rnacentral:rRNA from 1 species
CCUACGGGAGGCAGCAGUGAGGAAUAUUGGACAAUGGGCGCAAGCCUGAUCCAGCCAUGCCGCGUGCAGGAUGACGGUCCUAUGGAUUGUAAACUGCUUUUAUACGAGAAGAAACACUCCAACGUGUUGGAGCUUGACGGUAUCGUAAGAAUAAGGAUCGGCUAACUCCGUGCCAGCAGGC